UUUCCUAUCAAUCAAUAAUAUCAGUGUGAUCUAAAAACAUGUCUUUCUAAACUCCUUAUUUCCUUUCUGAAAGCUUGAUUCUUGUUAAUAUGACAUAAACUCUUGAGAUUCCGGAGAAGAUGGCUCUUCAAGAUAUAGAGUAUGCUCUACACUUGCCCUUCAAGGGAUCUGGUGUAUCAGAAAUAUAUCCGACCAAAGAUCCAUUGUUACGGUCCUCUUUGCUAUCUGUAUAAUGGCAAAUAUAGUAGCUGUGGUUUGAGAAAGUAGGCCAGAAGGCCGAAUAACUCGCCUUGUGAACUAUUUGAUCAUUGUAUGGAUAGUAGAGGGGCUCCCGAACUCAGUGGUAUAUAUAUGAAUAAUAUACAAUAUACAAUAUACUUAAUAAAAAAUUUAUAUUGUGUCACCUGCAAUCUCAACCCAGACAAUUCUGGCCAGUCAUCUCAACCCUCUAUAUUUAAUUCCUCUCUGUACCUAUUCCUCCAGGAUCCAUGUUAUUCAUCCUAUGCAGACCCGGUCUAUGUCAGGAAGUUUUAUGCCCAAAAUACACCCUACUUUGUUUUCCUUACUGCGGAACCAUAAUCCAGUAAUGCAUUCCAGGACAAAACAUAUAGAACUAGAUGUGAUCUUUGUCAGGGAAAAGGUUUUGGCUAAGUCACUCAGCAUCCCACACAUUCUAACCCAUGAACAAGUUGCAGACAUCCUUACUAAGGCCGUCUAAACUCAGGGUGUUCUCUCCUUCAGCUACCCCUUGAAUCUACAGAGGGAAUGUUCGAGAUAUAUGCCUCUGUCACUCAUCUAUGUUACAUGUGUUCUGUAAUAUCUAAUUCUGUUCAGUGCAUAACUUUUAGUUUAGCAGUUAGUUGCAUAUAGCUGUCAGUUAGUUUAAGAUUGUACAAGUUUGUUAACGAACUGUUAACCUUCUGUUAGAAGCUGCUGGUAGCUUUGCAACUCUACAAAUAGAGUUGAUCACACAGUACCAACUAGUUUUACAAGAUACACUUAAUUCAGUUUCAGAUUUCUCUCCCUUUUAUAUACAUUUCUAUCAUUAUAAAUACACUUAAUUCAGUUUAAGAUUUAUCUCCCUUUUAUAUACAUUUCUAUCAUUAUAAAUACACUUAAUUCAGUUCAUACCUUGUAUAUCUUGUGAUAGAAAACUUCAAGCAACCGAAGCUCGGCAUUAGGAUGGGACAACUCUACCUGAGCACCAACAGUAAAAGUGGUGACCUGUUACCAUAAAGUUGUGCAAACACCAUAACUCUUUUAUCUGCAAAUGCAAUGCAUGCAAGUUUAAGGAAAAAAGUUUAACAACUUCACCUUUGUUUUAAGAUCAUCAAGGACAUCCCCCACAGUACUCUGCUUUGGAAGUCUGAUGGUAUGACUAACCACCUGAUUGAACAAAUUAAAGAAAUAUAGCAACGGGUUAAGAGAGAAAUCAAGCCGAAAAUGGAAGAGAAGCAGGUCACCAUACUCACUUCAUCCUUCGUGGCAUAAUGAAAUGCAACUUUCAGAGUCUUCAAACCUUGUAAUUCUGGUAGAGGGAUAUCAAGUACUUCAUAGUAUAGUAUAUCUGAGGUCUGACAUUGAAGAAAGGAAUCAGAUGUAUAGCACUUCAAAGAACAACCAUUAAGGAGUUAACUAACCAUAACUACCUGAUUGUAGUGAACUAGCAUAUCAGACAAAUGUUCCACCCCUCGGUACUUAAUUGGCUGGGGUUUUGGUUGCUGAGAGUAGCAGUUAUGUGGGGUAAGCCGUAUUUUAGAUGGAUCAUCCAAACCAAGUUGUUGCGCUACUUUCUCCACCACAUCAUCAUAUGUAUAAAGCCUUGACCUAGAAAUCAAUAUAAAUAAGAGUAUAAGAAUAAGGAUAGAAUGUUAAGCAUAAUAACAUACAAAUAUUUUCAUCUUCC